UUUACUGGACAUAUCACUGAUACGGGACGAGAAUGGAUGGAUUCAAACAGACGUAUAUCGAAAGAGUACAGUCGUCAACAGUUAUUUACAUGCAACAUCCUCACAUCCCAUUUCCACCAUUAAUGCAAUACCCACAGGGGAUAUAGCAACAGGAGUAUCAAGAAAGCAUUGGACAGAGCAAAGAGUGCCAGCAGACAUCAACUCCUACAAACAAGUGAACGUGGCAAUGACAGUGACAAGAUUCGUAUAGUUCUCUGUGUACCCACAUCAAGCAUCCUGCCUACAUGUUUGGUUUCAUCCAUCAGCGCCCACCUUCAAAUUGAAGAUAUCAGCCAUCUAAC